CCCUCCUCCCCAGCCCUCCCUUCCCACGCCCCAGUGCGCUGUGGGAUAGUGCCACUAUAAAGUAUAUCCUCUCUCGGAGAAAGAUAAGAAGCCCGAGACAGGAGGGGAAUGAAGAUGGCGGACGCCAAGCAGAAGAGGAAUGAGCAGUUAAAGCGGUGGCUGGGCUCGGAAACGGACCUGGAGCCUCCUGUUCUGAAAAAGAAGAAGACGAAGGUGAAGUUCGAUGAUGGCGCCGUGUUCCUGGCCGCCUGCUCGAGCGGCGAUACCGAGGAGGUGCUCCGAAUGCUGGACCGGGGCGCCGACAUCAACUACGCCAACGUAGACGGUCUCACCGCCCUCCACCAGGCUUGCAUAGAUGACAACGUUGACAUGGUGACGUUCCUGGUGGAGCAUGGGGCCGGCAUCAACCAACCGGACAACGAGGGCUGGAUCCCCCUCCACGCUGCUGCCUCCUGUGGCUAUCUAGACAUAGCAGAGUAUCUCAUUAGCCAGGGUGCCAAUGUAGGAGUUGUGAACAGUGAGGGUGAGACGCCGCUGGACAUCGCUGAAGAGGAGGCCAUGGAGGAGCUUCUGCAGAACGAGAUCAAGCGACAAGGGGUGGACAUCGAGGCAGCCCGCAAAGAGGAGGAGCGCGUGAUGCUGAGCGACGCCCGGCAGUGGGUGAACAGCGGCCAGAUCCAGGACAUCCGACAUGCCAAGUCUGGAGGGACGGCGCUCCAUGUGGCGGCCGCGAAGGGAUACGUUGAGGUUUUAAAGCUUUUAAUCCAAGCAGGGUAUGAUGUAAAUAUUAAAGACUAUGAUGGCUGGACUCCUCUGCAUGCGGCAGCACACUGGGGCAAAGAGGAGGCGUGUAGGAUUCUGGUGGAGAAUCUGUGUGACAUGGACCUCAUUAAUAAAAUGGGCCAGACCCCGUUUGACGUAGCAGAUGAAGAUGUUCUAGGAUACUUAGAGGAGCUGCAAAAGAAACAAAACCUGCUCAUGAGUGAAAAGAAAGACAUUAAGAAAUCGCCUUUAAUUGAAACAACAACCACUGGAGAUAACAACCAGUUACUAAAACCCCUCAAGAGCAAAGAAACUGUGCUACUAGAGCCAGAGAAGACGACUCCACGCAUUGAGCCCCUAGAACCAGAGAAGGUGGAUGAAGAAGAAGACGGGAAGAAGGACGAGUCAAGCUGCUCCAGCGAGGAAGAGGAGGAAGAGGACUCUGAGUCGGAGAAUGAAGCAGAAAAGAGCAAGCCUUCAGCGUCGGUGAGCAACAGCACCACACCCGUCCCAACUGGCAUCAGUACGUCAUCUCCAACCAGCCCCAUCAACCAGGUGACGACCCCCACAUCGCCGGUAAAGAAGAUUAUUCAGCCUACUGCAAAGGUCACUGCUAAAGUGGAGGAGGAGAGGAAGGACGAGUCUCCCGCAUCGUGGCGUCUGGGUCUGAGGAAGACCGGCAGCUACGGUGCGUUAGCCGAGAUCACGGCUACCAAGGAGACGCAGAGGGAGAAGGACACGACCGGCGUGAUGCGCUCUGCCUCCAGCCCUCGCCUCUCCUCAACUUUGGACAACAAAGAAAAGGACAAAGACAAAAUCACCCGGCUUGCCUAUGUGACCCCAACCCCCACCGCCCCCAGGAGGCUGGCCAGUACUUCAGACAUAGACGAGAAGGAAAACCGGGACUCCACUCCCCUGAUACGUAGCGGCUCGUACACACGGCGGCGCUGGGACGACGACCUGAAAAACAGUGAAGGAAGCACCUCCACCAACCGAACCCCCAGCUACCAGCGCAGCACGUCCCACACGCUAGCGCUAGGGCGGAGCGGCAGCACGCGGGACGUGCCAGCCAAGUCUUCGUCCACCUCCAGCUUGGACCCUAACACCUGUAAUACUAAACCCUGGCAGCCACCCACCUCCCACUACCAGUCUUACAGCAUUUACCGCAGCGGCUCCUUUGGUAGAAGACAUGAGGAUUUGAGCUCCACAACCACCACCACCUCCUCCACGACCACCUCCUCAUCGGUUACCUCGCCCACAGGCCACCGCAGCCUGCUCUCAAGCCUGGGCUCCACUUCCACCCGCCCUGGCUCCACCAGUCUCACCAGCAGGUACUGGUCAGAGGAAAGUGCAGAGCGGGAGAAGGACUCUGCUGCAGUUAUCCCCAACAUUAACACUGGUUCCACUACAACUGCAGCGUCUACUACGUCCACUACGACCACCACCGGCACUGGCUCUGAAAGGCGCAGGUCAUACCUGACACCGGUUCGUGACGAGGAGUCAGAGUCCCAGAGGAAAGCUCGCUCCAGACAGGCUCGGCAGUCGAGGAGGUCCACCCAGGGUGUGACUCUGACUGACCUGCAAGAAGCUGAGAAAACAAUCGGCAGGAGUCGUCCCCCAAAGACUCGUGAGGAGGAGAAGGAGGAGAAGGAGAAACAGGACAAGGAGAAGCAGGAGGAGAAGAAGGAGACUGAGACCAAAGAGGACGAUUACCGAUCGAAGUACCGCAGCUUUGAAGAGCGUUAUCGGUCUUUAUCUUCCUCCUCCACUGCUGCUAUCUCUACGGUCAGCGCUGCCUCCACCCCGUCCUACUCCAGCACCACAUUGUCCACCAGUUCCAGCUCCCUCAACAGGCCUAACAGUCUGACGGGCAUCACCUCCUCCUAUAGCCGCUCCUCCAGAGACACAGAAAAAGAAACAGACAAAAAGGAGGAGGAGAAGGAGGGAGAGGACAAGUCUCAGCCCCGCUCCAUACGGGAUCGCAGGCGGCCGCGCGAAAAGAGGCGCUCCACUGGAGUCUCCUUCUGGACCCAAGAUGGUGAUGAGAAUGACCCUGAUCAGCAGUCGGACUCUGAGGAGGGUAGCACCAAGGGAGAGCCGCAGAGUGACAGAUUGUCCAGCACUUCAUCUUUAGACCGCAACGACGUUCUCUUAAGCCACAGCUAUGGUGAGAGUCGGCGACGACUGGACAGGGACGAUGCCACCGACUACAAGAAGCUCUACGAGCAGAUCUCAGCUGAGAACGAGAAGCUAAAGGCCCAGCUACGUGACACAGACCUGGAGCUGGCGGACUUGAAGCUGCAGCUAGAGAAGGCCACACAGAGGCAGGAACGCUACGCUGACCGGUCACAGCUCGAGUUGGAGAGAAGGGAAAGAAGAGCUCUAGAAAGGAAGAUUUCUGAGAUGGAGGAGGAACUUAAGAACCUCCCCCAGGUAAAGCAGGUUCAGGCCCUGCGCCAGGUGAAGGAGCGGCUGCAGGCUGAGAACCGGGCCCUGGCUCGCGUGGUGGCGAAGCUGUCGCAGUCCGCCUGCAGCCAGCUGCCCACCGUUGACCUCUAAGCCACGUCCGUCUGUCCACCAUUCUGUCCUCCCCCUUUCCUCCCCCAUUCUUCUCACGCUCCAUUCACGCUCUGCCCCGCGCCCAUAGACAGAUGCUCCCAGACUUGAAAGCAGACAACCAGAGACUAAAGGACGAGAACGGAGCUCUCAUUCGAGUCAUUAGCAAGCUUUCCAAGUAGAACCGACGCCCCCACCUCCACUGCACCUCUAGUCCCCCAUGGCAGUGACUAAUGGAAUUGCACAUUUAGAUAUUAAUUGCAACAGACAUCAGAUGAGACGAGACUCCUCCUCCUCCUCCCAGCUCUUUGUCCUCUUUGCUCCUCCACCAUCCGUCGCACCUCCACCCCUCCUCCUCCACGGCAACCCACUCGGUGGUGUGGCUGCUGUUCUGAUAGAACCACUGAGUUUACAGAGCGAAGGUAGAAAGGGUUGUGAGCGUGUGGUGGGCGGGGCCGCCUGCCGUCUAUUUAACCAAUAAGCCUUAGAUGUACAUAAAGAGGAAAAGCAACACUCGCAUCGAUCUUCUCUCUAUCACUGAAGAACAGAUAUUAUCCAACACCUGAUUUUAUUUGUGCCACAAUCUCUUAUUUGAUGUACUUUUUUUUCUUUCCUGUGUAAGUGUGCUGUGCAGUUUCCUCCUUCUAUCUAUCCUUCCUUCCUUUCCUUCCUUCCUUAACCCCUUGAAGUGCCACUUCUCCCCCUACUCCUCCUCUCACCACACACACCCUCACAGAUCGCUCCUCCCCCGUCAUCGUACCUCUGUGUCUUCCUCCAAGAGGGAAUGUUGGCGACCUGAGGCGGACCUGGUGGAAUUUAAGCUUUCACUGUAUGUGCAAUAUGCAUUUUUUUAAUGCUUUAAUGACGAGUCCAUCACAAGUAGGUUUCUCACUCUUCCACCGCUCCCGUUGCUCGCCCUCCCGCCCCUCGUCCCAGUCUUGUUUUUUUUUAAGUUUGUAGUGUAGUCAGUUUAUACUCUGUAUUUCUCACUUUGUUUUAGCAGGUACUGAGUGAUGCUGUAUAUACCUGUAUGUAUUUGUUUGAGACCAGCACAUGGCAUGCGUUUAUGGUUCCCGUCUGUUACUAUUAAAAGUAUACAAAUUCCAGAGGACGGCAAGGUGUGUUUUAAUUCUUCGUUUUUUUUUUUAAAUAUUUGGGUGCAGGAGCCGCUUGGCGGUUCACUGCUUCUUUCCUCCAGCUCAAAAUAAGUCAUUGUGAGAUUUGCAAAAAUCGCUUCACUACAUUUCACUUUGGUUGUAUUCAGUAUCUUGGACGAGUGCUGUUCAUUUUGUUUCCAGUUUUUUUAAAGCUGUAGUAUUCUAGCCAAGGUGUUGUCACUAAAUAAUAAAAAAAGACUAUACUAGGUGUUGCUAACCCAGUCCUUUCUACGUCUACAUGCACUGUCGAUGCCAUGUGAGGAGUCUUGAUGUCAGGUUAAAGCAAAUCACCACCAUCCGAUAUUCAUGCAUCUGAAACCAUUUUAUGCAUUUCAGUGGCCUUUUAAGGAUAUUUUAGAAUUGAAGUCACUGCAGAUGGAUUUGUGGCCAUCUCGCCUGGGUUUGACUUCGUUUUCUUUUUUUUUUUCGUCAUCUUGUAAAAUAGGUGUGUGGCUUAAUACAUGCAAGCUGUGCUGUGACUACCAACCACUGAAGAGUUCAUUAAAAAUAAACUUGUACAUUGUAAAGUU